AUUGAGGAAUGCAUGAUCAGGCUAGGGUGGUGUUCUAGAACACACUGCAUGUCCUCUGGACAGAGAUAACUGGCAUUGUACAGAUCCUGCUGUACCUAGUGCAGGAUCGUCUCCUCAAGUAAAGCAAAAGAUGUCUAACCCCUGGCUCUCUUUCCUUGGCGUGGAUCCAGUUCUGAUUUGGCACUGACUCACUCUCCAUAUGCAGUGGAUACUCCCAAUCCAGACAAGAGCUGAAAAUUACCAUGUAGCAAAAAGCAGCAAAACAAUACCUGGAACUUUUCACUCAAAGUUUUAUGGAGACAAAAAUAUGAGUGGAUUUUGAGGUUUUUAUGCAUAUAUAUGUGUGCACACAUGGACAUGCACACAAA